GGAUUGUAGUCUGCAACCCGACUACAUGAAGCUGGAAUCGCUAGUAAUCGCGGAUCAGAAUGCCGCGGUGAAUACGUUCCCGGGUCUUGUACACACCGCCCGUCACACCAUGGGAGCCGGGAAUGCCCGAAGUCAGCGGCCCAACCGAAAGGGGGGAGCUGCCGAAGGCAGGCCUGGUGACUGGGGUGAAGUCGUAACAAGGUACC
rnacentral:rRNA from 1 species